rnacentral:rRNA from 1 species
UGGGGAAUUUUGGACAAUGGGCGCAAGCCUGAUCCAGCCAUGCCGCGUGAGUGAAGAAGGCCUUCGGGUUGUAAAGCUCUUUCGGUGGGGAAGAAAUUGCUUAGGUUAAUACCUUGAGUAGAUGACGGUACCCGCAUAAGAAGCACCGGCUAACUACGUGCCAGCAGCCGCGGUAAUACGUAGGGUGCGAGCGUUAAUCGGAAUUACUGGGCGUAAAGCGUGCGCAGGCGGUUGUGUAAGUCAGAUGUGAAAUCCCCGGGCUCAACCUGGGAACUGCAUUUGAGACUGCACGGCUAGAGGAUAGCAGAGGGGGGUAGAAUUCCACGUGUAGCAGUGAAAUGCGUAGAGAUGUGGAGGAAUACCGAUGGCGAAGGCAGCCCCCUGGGCUAUUACUGACGCUCAUGCACGAAAGCGUGGGGAGCAAACA